GGCCUUGCAGGAGCAGGGUAGGCGCCAGAGCCGAGUGGCGGUGGCGGGGUGAUGGCGUUUGCAGGGCGAAAGGAACUGGGAUCCUGGGGGGAAACCUCAGCAGGGGCUGAGUGCGCGGGCUUUGCGGUUGAGAAAGGUCCAGCCAGGCUCUCGGCGCGCCCAGCAGCGCGUGGGGGGGCGUCCUGUCCACAGUGGCCUGCUUCCUUUCCCUGUCAAGGCUGGGGUGACUCAGAGCCCCUGCAGGGAGCACGAGUCUCCAGCGCUUCAGGGCCUGCGUCUCUCGGCCAGACUGUAGCCCGUGACCUUCCCAGGGCCAACCAAGGGCGAGGCGUGUUGCCCAACAAGGCCUCCGCUCCAUGGGCCGCGGGGGAAAUCGCCAGGCACGAGCCCUGUGGGCCGGGGCGCAGCCACCCACGCAUGCCCGAGGAGGCCUUCGGGGAGCAGAGACCGGAGCUGAGAGGCUGCGGAGCCAGCCCCGCACCACUGACAGCCGGGGCACGUCUGCGGAGCCCGGGGGAACCAUCCACGCAGGAGCCCUACGUCCUGGGAGCUGGGGACACGCCUGCAAGAGGGCAACCAGGUGCCAGUGUUGGCGAGCAGAAUCGCCCCCCACUCGGGCCCUCCUCCUGGGCCAGGCUCCAGCUUCGGGCAGGAUCCCUGCGGGAUGCUCUGGCACACGCAAGGUGGAAAUGUGUCUGUUCACUUGUACACACGCUCACACGUGCCCUGGCAGAGAGGGCUGUACCUGCCUCCCUUCCAGGCCUAUCUGCCUGCAGUCCUUUGGAGUGGACCAAGUCUUUGUGCCUCCCCCUGCAAAGCGUCCUGUGUGUUACCUAACGCCCUCACACAGGGGGCCCUGGAGCUACAGUUUUUGCCCCAAAUCAGCCAGCACGGGGUCAUCCAAUGGGGGUGUAAGGGUGAUGCCAAUGUUAGUGACAGCUUCAUCCCCUGGGGGCUUUUAUUCCUCCCCUUGAAGCCCCAUUUCUAGGCUCUGGAACAAAGGGGAGAGGAACCCGAUCUCUCUUUCGGUCUCCCUUUCUCCUCACUUCCACACCCUCACCUGCAAGCCCCUCUCUUUGAUAAACAGAGGAAAGCCUCAGGGAUCAGGUACAAAUGUAAAUAUUGCUUACCUGGGCAGGCCCCUCCUCUUUAAAAAGCAGAUGGUCCCUUUCAGGUGCAGGCUGCCCAAAGCCUCUCUCAGAAGGCAUGGGAUGCAAGCCUACUCUCUCAAAGUCCUUCUCUUGUUAAGAACAUUCGGGACAACUAGUAAAUAGUUCUUGGAAGAGUUGAAGACCUUUCUCUCAGGGCUGCAACCCUUUUAAAGCCCUGCUGAGUGUACAAAGUAGGAUCAGUAAGUUUGCUUGCAGAGUUGUGAAAUUUGAGAGAGCUGUCUUCCAAAAAAGGUUUAGUAGCAAUAGUUGAUCGAUAGAGUUUGUUUCAUUCAUGCCUUCUCUGCUAUUGAAUCCUAAGGAUUCUUAAGACCAAGUUACGAGGAGGAAGACAUUUGUUUUCAUUUUGUUAGUUUCUGGGCGAUACUAUACUUUCUGAUUAGACCAAUUUAUGUUUCUGAACUCUGCAGGAGAGUCCUCAGCCUUGGAAAUGUAAAUGAAAACCAGACUCCUCCUCUCUGAGACCUUCAGGGGGACAGAAUGAACAAACCUGCCUGGCGUCCACUCACACCCGAAGCUGCCCCGUCUGAACUUGGGUGGAGGGAAGCUGGUGGAUUUUAACACCAUUUCUUUCCACCGUGGCACCAGAAGAGCUCCUUGCAUUGAAUAGCUCUUCUAUUUCAGUGUGCAGUGUUGCAGCCGACUGAAUGGGCUUGCCUUCUGCCGAGGCAGUCUUGGAAGACGGAAGUCAUCUGUGAUUUCCCAGGAAGCUCUUCACCAGACCACCUCCUGUCCUUUUCUUUUUAAUUAUUUAAAAAUAAAAGUAUGUUUGCUUCCCUCUUGAGUGUCCGG
rnacentral:lncRNA from 1 species